CUACGGGCGGCUGCAGUGAGGAAUAUUGCACAAUGGGGGGAACCCUGAUGCAGCAACGCCGCGUGGAGGAUGAAGGGUUUGGGGUGGGAAAGUAAUUUUAUAUGUCAAGAAAAUGACGGUAGCAUAUGAAUAAGCACCGGCUAACUCCGUGCCAGCAGCCGCGGUAAUACGGAGGGUGCAAGCGUUACUCGGAAUCACUGGGCGUAAAGGACGCGUAGGCGGGUUGGAAAGUCAGGUGUGAAAUCCUACAGCUUAACUGUAGAACUGCACUUGAAACUUCUAAUCUAGAGUAUGGGAGGGGGAGAUGGAAUUAGUGGUGUAGGGGUAAAAUCCGUAGAUAUCACUAGGAAUACCUAAAGCGAAGGCGAUCUCCUGGAACAUUACUGACGCUAAGGCGUGAAAGCGUGGGGAGCAAACAGGAUUAGAUACCCCCGUAGUC
rnacentral:rRNA from 1 species